rnacentral:rRNA from 1 species
AUACGUAGGGAGCGAGCGUUGUCCGGAAUGAUUGGGCGUAAAGGGCGCGUAGGCGGCCCGGUAAGUCUGGAGUGAAAGUCCUGCUUUUAAGGUGGGAAUUGCUUUGGAUACUGUCGGGCUUGAGUGCAGGAGAGGUAAGUGGAAUUCCCAGUGUAGCGGUGAAAUGCGUAGAGAUUGGGAGGAACACCAGUGGCGAAGGCGACUUACUGGACUGUAACUGACGCUGAGGCGCGAAAGUGUGGGGAGCAAACAGGAUUAGAUACCCUGGUAGUCCACACUGUAAACGAUGAAUGCUAGGUGUAGGGGGUAUCGACCCCUUCUGUGCCGCAGUUAACACAAUAAGCAUUCCGCCUGGGGAGUACGGCCGCAAGGUUGAAACUCAAAGGAAUUGACGGGG